UAUCUCUCCUCUCUCUCUCUUUCGUAUCUCCUCCAGAUCCGGGAGGAGGAGGAGAAGGCAUGGGGAGGUGAGUGUAAAGGGGUGAGGCGCCAUGGGAAGGUGGCAUCGGGAGGUGAAUGGUGCUAGCACUGGCGCGGCAGUGCUGCAAGAUCGACUGCAGGCUUCAUGUGGCAAGCACGAAUAGCACCAACAAGCGCAAUUGGUGUCAUGCGCAGGUGGCCAGCAGCAAGGGCGACCAGCAGUGGGUGGUAGGAGAGCAUCAUCCGUGUGCGCGACCUUCCGCGGGCGACGGGCAUGGGGCCUAGGACCAGGCGGCGGCAGCUGGUGUCCCCUUCAACGGGACUCACUUCAUUUUUCCAUUGGCUCAUUUCAUUUUGCUGUUGAUGUAUUUGUACAUGUAGUAGAGCUUUGGUACUAAGUAUAUUUAGCAUCUGUCACAAGUUCCUUCUCUGUAAUAUAUAGCUGUUCUCGUUGAUUUUGUGUUUUGUUUUGCAAUAA